UACAGAGGUCCCAAGCGUUGUUCGGAUUCACUGGGCGUAAAGAGCUCGUAGGCGGUCUGUCGCGUCUGCUGUGAAAACUCAGGGCUUAACCCUGAGCUUGCAGUGGGUACGGGCAGACUAGAGUGCGGUAGGGGAGACUGGAAUUCCUGGUGUAGCGGUGAAAUGCGCAGAUAUCAGGAGGAACACCGGUGGCGAAGGCGGGUCUCUGGGCCGUAACUGACGCUGAGGAGCGAAAGCAUGGGGAGCGAACAGG
rnacentral:rRNA from 1 species